CCUACGGGAGGCAGCAGUGGGGAAUAUUGGACAAUGGGCGCAAGCCUGAUCCAGCCAUACCGCGUGUGUGAAGAAGGCUUUCGGGUUGUAAAGCACUUUAAGUAAGGAGAAAAAGAUUGUAGUUAAUACCUGCAAUCCGUGAUGUUACUUACAGAAUAAGGACCGGCUAAUUCCGUGCCAGCAGCCGCGGUAAUACGGAAGGUCCAAGCGUUAAUCGGAAUUACUGGGCGUAAAGCGCGCGUAGGUGGUUUUUUAAGUUGGAUGUGAAAGCCCUGGGCUCAACCUAGGAACUGCAUCCAAAACUAGAUGACUGGAGUACGAAAGAGGGAAGUAGAAUUCACAGUGUAGCGGUGGAAUGCGUAGAUAUUGUGAAGAAUACCAAUGGCGAAGGCAGCUUCCUGGUUCUGUACUGACACUGAGGUGCGAAAGCGUGGGUAGCGAACAGGAUUAGAUACCCUGGUAGUCCACGCCGUAAACGAUGACAACUAGCUGUUGGGAGACAAGAUCUUUCAGUGGCGCAGCUAACGCUUUAAGUUGUCCGCCUGGGGAGUACGGCCGCAAGGUUAAAACUCAAAUGAAUUGACGG
rnacentral:rRNA from 1 species